GACGAACGCUGGCGGCGUGCUUAACACAUGCAAGUCGAACGAUGAAGCUAGAGCUUGCUCUGGUGAAUUAGUGGCGAACGGGUGAGUAACACGUGAGUAACCUGCCCCGAACUCUGGGAUAACUGCUGGAAACGGUAGCUAAUACUGGACACGACCUACGAAGGCAUCUUCUGUAGGUGGAAAGAAUUUCGGUUCGGGAUGGACUCGCGGCCUAUCAGCUUGUUGGUGAGGUAAUGGCUCACCAAGGCGACGACGGGUAGCCGGCCUGAGAGGGGGACCGGCCACACUGGGACUGAGACACGGCCCAGACUCCUACGGGAGGCAGCAGUGGGGAAUAUUGCACAAUGGGCGCAAGCCUGAUGCAGCAACGCCGCGUGAGGGAUGACGGCCUUCGGGUUGUAAACCUCUUUUAGUAGGGAAGAAGCGAAGGUGACGGUACCUGCAGAAAAAGCACCGGCUAACUACGUGCCAGCAGCCGCGGUAA
rnacentral:rRNA from 1 species